UUGUAUUGAUCAAUUUGUUUUUAAAAAAAGUGUAAUUUUUUCUUCUUCACUUCAAAAUUAAAUCUUCUUCGUUAAAACUAGGUGAAUGGAAAACGGAUAACUUAUUUUAAUGAAACAUUUUUGUCUGAUUGAUUCCAGUUGGUUACAAGAGGCUAUACAUUCCACGGCGUGAUAAAAACUCUCAGGUUUUCGCAAAAAAUGAUUGAAGAACUCGAUGUUUGGACCCCUUAAUGCAAGCUGGACCCCUUAAUGCAAGCUUUUUUACAAAUAGAGUGACCAACAGUUUUAUGCCGCCUCCGAAUCGCAAAUGGUUUUUUAUGAGAAGCCUUUUCAACACGGAUAUACACUCGGAGGUUUGUCAUUACCUGCCGAGGGGCAACCGCAGAAAACUUUUUCUAUAAUUAUAUAAUUCUAUUAUGUUUGUGAAUAACAACCACUUUCUCAUAUUCCUCAUGUAAAGCGAACUGCGUUCUGUGAUAUCCUAUUCACCUUUUAAUCCGAUGCAUCUGCGUAACUUAAUGAAAGCAAAAUGGCACAAUUGAUGAAAAAUAAAUAAAAAACAACCGCUUAUGCCUACAAA